ACACACUGACAUAACAAUCUUUUGCACUUCACAUGACAAGUUGUGUCUUUCACACUUCUACAUUGAGUUUAAUCUUUUGCACUUCACAUGUCACAAUCAAUUUAGCUAAAUCUUUUUUAUUAAGAACAAAAUAAAAGUUUAAACUUGUUGGUUCUUGUUGAGUUUUAAAUUUUAAUACUGGUUUCCAAUGCAUUUGGUUCUUGUUGCACCUUGCCACUGUCAACACUAAUACUCUCUCCUGCCUUGUCAUCUUCGACGCCUACUUCACCUGAUGCCUCGUUACUAACUGCAGUCACUAAACCGCCUUCUCUUUGGAUGAGUUCAGGGGACUCUCCAGAACUCUAUUGUUUUGUAUCUUUGCUCUAUGGUUCAAUGAGCUGGAGUUCAAAGCACAAAGGAAUUCAUCAACAGCCCUAACCCACCAGAGGCUUUUUGCGGUCAUCCCUUCAAGAUAUCCCAAGUGUCCCCCGUGUUGUGUAGUAGCUAGUACGACAUUUUUGUUUGCCCGACAUUCAUCCCAUGGAAUUGUUUCCCUUGUACAGACUGGAUCAUCCAAGGCACUAAUGCAGAGAAGGGGAACUCCCACUUUUCUUAUAUAACUGCUACAGCUAACUGUCCUGUAAUAGGUAUCAACAGUCUCAAAAUUACCAAGAACACAAACAACAUGUUUGUCAUAAUCUCUGAUACAGCUUAUCUUAGAAAUGCUGUCCCAAUCUGUCAGACUCGGCAAAACACUCCGAUGCAGCUCGGCGUAAUCUUUUAAUCCAAUUCCUAAAAUUCGGUCAUAGGAUCUCUGCACAAGCCUGCGCUUAAUAAACCUAUCACCAAUCAAAAGGUCCCAAGGAGAACAGAUUGAAGCCGCCCCAACAAGCGCAGUAUUAACUCCUUCCUCACCAAGAUAUUUUACCAGAACAUUAGCACCAAUGCUAGUGCCAACAGCAAAUAAAGGAGCUUGAGGGUAUUGAGUGUGGAGAUGGUCAAUGACUUUG
rnacentral:misc_RNA from 1 species